CAGUAGCCACGGUAAUACGAAGGGUGCAAGCGUUACUCGGAAUUACUGGGCGUAAAGCGUGCGUAGGUGGUGGUUUAAGUCCGUUGUGAAAGCCCUGGGCUCAACCUGGGAAUUGCAGUGGAUACUGGGUCACUAGAGUGUGGUAGAGGAUAGUGGAAUUUCCGGUGUAGCAGUGAAAUGCGUAGAGAUCGGAAGGAACAUCUGUGGCGAAGGCGACUAUCUGGGCCAACACUGACACUGAGGCACGAAAGCGUGGGGAGCAAACAGGAUUAGAUACCCGUGUAGUCCCUGUCUCUUAUAA
rnacentral:rRNA from 1 species